rnacentral:snRNA from 1 species
CGGACUGGGAACGGCUCUC